GGACCUUGAACUGGUUUUGUGCCUCAAU
rnacentral:piRNA from 1 species